UCUCUGUUAGUAUAUCGGUUAGUACACGCGCCUGUCACUGCGUCGGGGAGUCGAACCCCGGCUUGGACGCGCGAAAGCGGGGUUCGACUCCCCGACAGAGAG